CCUACGGGCGGCAGCAGUAGGGAAUCUUCCACAAUGGGCGCAAGCCUGAUGGAGCAACGCCGCGUGGGUGAAGAAGGUCUUCGGAUCGUAAAACCCUGUUGUUAGAGAAGAAAGUGAGUGCGAGUAACUGUUCACGUUUCGACGGUAUCUAACCAGAAAGCCACGGCUUACUCCGUGCUGGCAGCCGCGGUAAUCCGUAGGGGGCAAGCGUUCUCCGGAUUUAUUGGGCGUAAAGGGAACGCAGGCGGUCUUUGAAGUCUGAUGUGAAAGCUUUCGGCUUAACCGGAGUAGUGCAUUGGAAACGGGGAGACUUGAGUGCAUAAGAGGAGAGUGGAACUCCAUGUGUAGCGGUGAAAUGCGUAGAUAUAUGGAAGAACACCAGUGGCGAAGGCGGCUCUCUGGUCUGUAACUGACGCUGAGGUUCGAAAGCGUGGGUAGCAAACAGGAUUAGAUACCCUAGUAGUC
rnacentral:rRNA from 1 species